AAUAAAUCAAAACUUUCAACAACGGAUCUCUUGGUUCUGGCAUCGAUGAAGAACGCAGCGAAAUGCGAUAAGUAAUGUGAAUUGCAGAAUUCAGUGAAUCAUCGAAUCUUUGAACGCACAUUGCGCCCGCCAGUAUUCUGGCGGGCAUGCCUGUUCGAGCGUCAUUUCAACCCUCAAGCCCCCGGGCUUGGUGUUGGGGAUCGGCGUGCCCUUCGCGGCGCGCCGUCCCCUAAAUCUAGUGGCGGACAUGCCUGUUCGAGCGUCAUUUCAACCCUCAAGCCCCCGGGCUUGGUGUUGGGGAUCGGCGUGCCCUUCGCGGCGCGCCGUCCCCUAAAUCUAGUGGCGGUCUCGCUGCAGCUUCCUCUGCGUAGUAGCACACCUCGCACCGGAGAGCAGCGCGGCCACGCCGUUAAACCCCCCACUUCUGAAAGGUUGACCUCGGAUCAGGUAGGAAUACCCGCUGAACUUAAGCAUAUCAAUAAGCGGAGGAAAAGAAACCAACAGGGAUUGCCCUAGUAACGGCGAGUGAAGCGGCAACAGCUCAAAUUUGAAAUCUGGCCCCCGGGUCCGAGUUGUAAUUUGUAGAGGAUGCUUUUGGUGCGGUACCUUCCGAGUGCCCUGGAACGGGACGCCAUAGAGGGUGAGAGCCCCGUCUGGUUGGACGCCAAUCCUUUGUAAAGCUCCUUCAACGAGUCGAGUAGUUUGGGAAUGCUGCUCUAAAUGGGAGGUAUAUGUCUUCUAAAGCUAAAUAUUGGCCAGAGACCGAUAGCGCACAAGUAGAGUGAUCGAAAGAUGAAAAGCACUUUGAAAAGAGAGUUAAAAAGUACGUGAAAUUGUUGAAAGGGAAGCGCUCAUGACCAGACUUGGGCUUGGUUGAUCAUCCAGGGUUCUCCCUGGUGCACUCUUCCGGCCCAGGCCAGCAUCAGUUCGCUGUGGGGGAUAAAGGCUUCGGGAAUGUGGCUCCCUCGGGAGUGUUAUAGCCCGUCGUGUAAUACCCUGUGGUGGACUGAGGUUCGCGCAUUCGCAAGGAUUCUGGCGUAAUGGUCAUCAGCGACCCGUCUUGAAACACGGACCAAGGAGUCGUCUUCGUAUGCGAGUGUUCGGGUGUCAAACCCCUACGCGUAAUGAAAGUGAACGCAGGUGAGAGCUUCGGCGCAUCAUCGACCGAUCCUGAUGUUCUCGGAUGGAUUUGAGUAAGAGCAUACGGGGCCGGACCCGAAAGAAGGUGAACUAUGCCUGUAUAGGGUGAAGCCAGAGGAAACUCUGGUGGAGGCUCGCAGCGGUUCUGACGUGCAAAUCGAUCGUCAAAUAUGGGCAUGGGGGCGAAAGACUAAUCGAACCUUCUAGUAGCUGGUUUCCGCCGAAGUUUCCCUCAGGAUAGCAGUGUUGAUCUCAGUUUUAUGAGGUAAAGCGAAUGAUUAGGGACUCGGGGGCGCUAUUUAGCCUCCAUCCAUUCUCAAACUUUAAAUAUGUAAGAAGCCCUUGUUACUUAAUUGAACGUGGGCAUUCGAAUGUACCAACACUAGUGGGCCAUUUUUGGUAAGCAGAACUGGCGAUGCGGGAUGAACCGAACGCGAGGUUAAGGUGCCAGAGUAGACGCUCAUCAGACACCACAAAAGGUGUUAGUACAUCUUGACAGCAGGACGGUGGCCAUGGAAGUCGGAAUCCGCUAAGGACUGUGUAACAACUCACCUGCCGAAUGUACUAGCCCUGAAAAUGGAUGGCGCUCAAGCGUCUCACCCAUACCUCGCCCUCAGGGUAGAAACGAUGCCCUGAGGAGUAGGCGGACGCAGAGGUCAGUGACGAAGCCUAGGGCGUGAGCCCGGGUCGAACGGCCUCUGGUGCAGAUCUUGGUGGUAGUAGCAAAUACUUCAAUGAGAACUUGAAGGACCGAAGUGGGGAAAGGUUCCAUGUGAACAGCGGUUGGACAUGGGUUAGUCGAUCCUAAGCUAUAGGGAAGUUCCGUUUCAAAGGCGCACUUUGCGCCGUCUAGCGAAAGGGGAGCCGGUCAAUAUUCCGGCACCUGGAUGUGGGUUUUGCGCGGCAACGCAACUGAACGUGGAGACGACGGCGGGAGCCCCAGGCAGAGUUAUCUUUUCUUCUUAACGGUCUAUCACCCUGAAAUCGGUUUGUCCGGAGCUAGGGUUUAAUGGCCGGAAGAGCCCAGCACCUCUGUUGGGUCUGGUGCGCUCUCGACGUCCCUUGAAAAUCCACGGGAAGGAAUAAUUCUCACGCCAGGUCGUACUCAUAACCGCAGCAGGUCUCCAAGGUGAACAGCCUCUGGUUGAUAGAACAAUGUAGAUAAGGGAAGUCGGCAAAAUAGAUCCGUAACUUCGGGAUAAGGAUUGGCUCUAAGGGUUGGGCACGUUGGGCUUUGGACGGACGCCUCGGGAGCAGGCAGCCACUAGCCGGGCAACCGGCCGGCGGCAGCCAGCAUCUGGGUGCUGAUGUCCUUAGCAGGCUUCGGCCGUCCGGCGUGCGGUUAACAACCAACUUAGAACUGGUACGGACAAGGGGAAUCUGACUGUCUAAUUAAAACAUAGCAUUGCGAUGGCCAGAAAGUGGUGUUGACGCAAUGUGAUUUCUGCCCAGUGCUCUGAAUGUCAAAGUGAAGUAAUUCAACCAAGCGCGGGUAAACGGCGGGAGUAACUAUGACUCAAAAGUGGGAUUGAACUCAAGUCAGUCACAUAAGGGAAACGUUUGGGGGAGCAGAGUGAUGUAUUUCUUCCUGUCUUCCUUCCAGCUACCACACACAUCUGGCCCAAGAUCGGCUGUCCCUCCGUCCUCCACCGCGAGAUCAUGGAAGGAAGUCGUAGGCCAUGUUCACCGUCGCAUCCAGGUCGCCAUUCUUAAUGGCCUCCUCCAACGCAUCAGCACCCGAAUAGACGGUCGACGUCUGGCUGUAACGCUCCAGGGCGGGACUUCCAACUCGGCCGGCUUGUUCGUUCGCCAUCUCUGGUUGACCCCGGGGGGCGUUGGUGCUGGUGGUGCUCUGGUGGUCGGUCCUGCUGCUUUGUCGGCUGGGGCGGCUGCCACCACUCACAAGACUCGAUUGUCUGGACCGCCAUCCUUGGGGGUCGCUCUCUUUGAGGGACAGACAGCAGCGGACGUCCGUCCGCGGGGGUCGAAUGCAGGGAGGCUGGUGCGUAUCGGGGCAAGCGGAAAAGAUGAAGUUGCCGUGGUCGGAACAGAAAACCGGCCCAAUGCAAUUCUUCCGCCCGUUGUUCAGCUGCGGGGACUCGUCGAUG
rnacentral:rRNA from 1 species